UAGCUCAGUGGGAGGUUCACAAGGUUGGAUCCUCCUGGUCCUGAGUUUAGCGAUUUUCUACUUGGUUGCUUCAAGGGUGGAGUCAGCCUAUUUCUGCUCUUCAACACCUGGUUGCUCUAAGGGUGGAGUCAGCCUAUUUCUGCUCUCCAAUAUAAAGGCCGGGGGUAAUGGCAAAACUUUGAGGUCUUUUUUUUUUAUAAAAAAAAGGACAAUCAGCGUUACCUUUCUAAAGCAAAACCCGAGAAUAUUGAAACUGACGUUUUUUCCAUAGAAGCGUGAAGAUAUGCCACUACGGUAUUAUGUUUAAUGGUUGGUGUUUUUUCCAAAUACGGUACAAAACGCAUAUACAUGUAAUUCACCCUCGAAUACCUCGCCGUCGAUCGUUAUGUUACCUACCACUCGUUAAAUUCUUAAAUAAAUCUAGCUCAGUCAAUGACUCAAAUCGGGAUGAAUAGGUUCCAGAAAGAAAUCUUAUCACUAAUGCUCGCUGUUUGGCACGCAUAUACAUGUAAUUCACCCCUAUGAACACCUCGAAUACCUCGCUGUCGAUCGUUAUGUUACCUACCACUCGUUAAAUUCUUAAAUAAAUCUAGCUCAGUCAAUGACUCAAAUCGGGAUGAAUAGGUUCCAGAAAGAAAUCUUAUCACUAAUGCUCGCUG
rnacentral:lncRNA from 1 species